rnacentral:rRNA from 1 species
CCGAAUUCGUCGACACAGAGUUUGAUCCUGGCUCAGGACGAACGCUGGCGGCGUGCUUAACACAUGCAAGUCGAGCGGUAAGGCCUUCGGGGUACACGAGCGGCGAACGGGUGAGUAACACGUGGGUGACCUGCCCUUAGCUCUGGGAUAAGCCUGGGAAACCGGGUCUAAUACCGGAUAGGACUCCGUGAUGCAUGUCAUGGGGUGGAAAGCCUUGUGCGGCUAGGGAUGGGCCCGCGGCCUAUCAGCUUGUUGGUGGGGUGAUGGCCUACCAAGGCGACGACGGGUAGCCGGCCUGAGAGGGCGACCGGCCACACUGGGACUGAGACACGGCCCAGACUCCUACGGGAGGCAGCAGUGGGGAAUCUUGCGCAAUGGGCGAAAGCCUGACGCAGCGACGCCGCGUGAGGGAUGACGGCCUUCGGGUUGUAAACCUCUUUCAGCUCCGACGAAGCGGAAGUGACGGUAGGAGCAGAAGAAGCACCGGCCAACUACGUGCCAGCAGCCGCGGUAAUACGUAGGGUGCAAGCGUUGUCCGGAAUUAUUGGGCGUAAAGAGCUCGUAGGCGGUUUGUCGCGUCGGCUGUGAAAACUCGGGGCUCAACUCCGAGCUUGCAGUCGAUACGGGCAGACUAGAGUUCGGCAGGGGAGACUGGAAUUCCUGGUGUAGCGGUGAAAUGCGCAGAUAUCAGGAGGAACACCGGUGGCGAAGGCGGGUCUCUGGGCCGAUACCGACGCUGAGGAGCGAAAGCGUGGGGAGCGAACAGGAUUAGAUACCCUGGUAGUCCACGCCGUA